rnacentral:lncRNA from 1 species
AUUGGCAAGCAGCCUUCGGGGACUGCACUGGCCAGCUCUGACACCCACUGAAUGAUGGUGGCGGCACUGAUUUGCGUUACCCGCAGACAGAACCCGUGCCCUCUCACUCCAUUAGCCAAGUCAGAAACAUCAAGCUUUUACGGAAUCCAUUCCAGCUGAAACAACAGUCUCCUUUAUCAUUGUAGUAAGUGUUGGGAAUUAUUUUUCCUCCAGAAAAUUAAUAUCUUCAAUGAGCCAAGUGGAUAAUUCAGAAUUUUUUUUGAUGCCAAAGUGGUUACAUUUUUACCCUGAAGAGAGAGAGUGGAAGUGGGGACCCUGUUGGUUUCUUGGGGAACUAGAAACGAGGCUCUCCCAGUGUGUGCCAACAUGCUUGGCACUUUCGGGAUGCUAUGGGUCAGGCACCAGAUAAACACACCCAGGGACAGAGGAUAGCUGCUCAGGAAUUUCUGGUGGCAGCUCUUUGUGGACUCGCGAAAAAUUGGCUGAAAAGGAAGGACUGUGACCCAAAGAUGCCCAGCUCCCUGGAAUAGGGCACGUUACAGUGGGCUGAGGAGCUACAGUGAGCUGUGCUAAGAGUGUGCCUGGGAAGAGAAACCAAGGACGUGAGAUUCAAAAACAGGCUUUGCCUAAGACUGCAUAAAGCUGCAAGCUCUCCAGCCCUUCCCUGGCCAGUUCCCUGUGACCUCCUAGGCUGGAGAAACCAAGACCAAUGGCAGCUUCCAACCAGCUUGGCAUAAGUGGUUGGCAAGGCAGAGCACCCCCAUCUGUGCCCAGCUGCAGGUCUUGAAGUCUCUCAGUCAUCAGCUCACCCAGGACAUCCAGUUCAUCAGCCAGUCUUGUGGGUUAACUCGUAUUCUGAUUCUCUUUACUGUUCCCUCUGGUUUUAAAAAAA